ACGAACGCUGGCGGCAUGCCUAACACAUGCAAGUCGAACGCCCCGCAAGGGGAGUGGCGCACGGGUGAGUAACGCGUGGGGAUCUGCCCAUCGGUGGGGAAUAACUUCGGGAAACUGAAGCUAAUACCGCAUACGCCCUAUGGGGGAAAGAUUUAUCGGCGAGAGAUUAGCCCGCGUCCGAUUAGCUAGUUGGUGAGGUAAUGGCUCACCAAGGCUACGAUCGGUAGCUGGUCUGAGAGGAUGAUCAGCCACACUGGGACUGGGACACGGCCCAGACUCCUACGGGAGGCAGCAGUGGGGAAUAUUGGACAAUGGGCGCAAGCCUGAUCCAGCCAUGCCGCGUGAGUGAAGAAGGCCUUAGGGUUGUAAAGCUCUUUCGACGGGGACGAUGAUGACGGUACCCGUAGAAGAAGCCCCGGCUAACUUCGU
rnacentral:rRNA from 1 species